rfam:Schistosoma mansoni strain Puerto Rico chromosome 6, complete genome
AUCUACCUGAAGAGUUUCAAAUAUAACGAAACACGCGUCUUGGAC